rnacentral:rRNA from 1 species
AAUCAACGCUGGCGGCGUGCCUCAGACAUGCAAGUCGAGCGAUUAAGACUUCCUUCGGGAAGUGUAUAAAGUGGCGCACGGGUGAGUAACACGUAAGUAAUCUACCUUCGAGUGGGGAAUAACAUCGGGAAACCGAUGCUAAUACCGCAUAAUGCAGCGGCAUCGCAAGAUGACAGUUGUUAAAGGAGCAAUUCGCUUGAAGAGGAGCUUGCGGCAGAUUAGCUAGUUGGUAAGGUAAUGGCUUACCAAGGCUACGAUCUGUAUCCGGUCUAAGAGGACGGUCGGACACACUGACACUGAAUAACGGGUCAGACUCCUACGGGAGGCAGCAGUCGGGAAUUUUGGGCAAUGGGCGAAAGCUUGACCCAGCAACGCCGCGUGAGGGAUGAAGUAUUUCGGUAUGUAAACCUCGAAAGAAUGGGAAGAAUAAAUGACGGUACCAUUUAUAAGCUCCGGCUAACUACGUGCCAGCCGCCGCCGUAAGAC